UACGAAGGGGGCUAGCGUUGCUCGGAAUUACUGGGCGUAAAGCGCACGUAGGCGGGUUCUUAAGUCGGUGGUGAAAUCCUGGAGCUCAACUCCAGAACUGCCUUCGAAACUGGGAAUCUUGAGUCCGGGAGAGGUGAGUGGAACUGCGAGUGUAGAGGUGAAAUUCGUAGAUAUUCGCAAGAACACCAGUGGCGAAGGCGGCUCACUGGCCCGGUACUGACGCUGAGGUGCGAAAGCGUGGGGAGCAAACA
rnacentral:rRNA from 1 species